rnacentral:tRNA from 3 species
UUGGGCGUCGGCAAGUGGUAAGCCAACUGGUUUUGAUCCAGUCAUUUCGGAGGUUCGAAUCCUUCCGCCCAAG